CUGUCUUCCAACAGCGGCCAAUGCCAGGUGCCCCAGAGGGAAUGAACAGAACAGGUUUACACUAUAUGUGUGACUGGUAGGUGGGGCCAGCAGGGAUGAAAGUGUGGCGGGAGCCUGUGAGCAAUGAAGCCUGGUGACUCAAAUGCACAAAUGGAAAGGAAAAGGCAAGAGGCGGUAAAGAGAAGAUGGACUGUGUGCGUAGGCCACUCUGUGCUGAGACUGGGAUAAAACAG